GAUGAACGCUGGCGGCGUGCCUAAUACAUGCAAGUCGAGCGAACGGACGAGAAGCUUGCUUCUCUGAUGUUAGCGGCGGACGGGUGAGUAACACGUGGAUAACCUACCUAUAAGACUGGGAUAACUUCGGGAAACCGUAGCUAAUACCGGAUAAUAUUUUGAACCGCAUGGUUCAAAAGUGAAAGACGGUCUUGCUGUCACUUAUAGAUGCAUCCCCGCUGCAUUAGCUAGUUGGUAAGGUAACGGCCUACCAAGGCAACGAUGCGUAGCCGACCUGAGAGGGGGAUCGGCCACACUGGAACUGAGACACGGUCAAGACGCCUAAGGGAGGCAGCAGUAGGGAAUCUUACGCAGUGGGCGAAAGCCUGACGGAGCAACGCCGAGUGAGUGAUGGCGGUCUUCGGAUCGUAAAACUCUGUUAUUAGGGAAAAACAUAUGUGUAAGUAACUGUGCACAUCUUGACGGUAAUUAAUCAGAAAGCCACGGCUAACUACGUG
rnacentral:rRNA from 1 species